rnacentral:sRNA from 1 species
GCUCAUGACAGCAGGACGGUGGCCAUGGAA